AGUUUCGUGGUCUAAUGGUUAUGAUUUCUCAUUCACAUGCAACUCCGACAGGCGUGUGUAUUCUGAGAAGGUUCUGGGUUCGAUCCCCAGCGAGACUA
rnacentral:tRNA from 1 species